rnacentral:rRNA from 1 species
UAGUCCACGCCGUAAACGAUGAAUGCUAGGUGUCGGGGGUCGAACCUCGGUGCCGCAGUUAACGCAUUAAGCAUUCCGCCUGGGGAGUACGGUCGCAAGACUGAAACUCAAAGGAAUUGACGGGGACCCGCACAAGCAGCGGAGCAUGUGGUUUAAUUCGAAGCAACGCGAAGAACCUUACCAGAACUUGACAUCCUCUGCAUUACUCUUAAUCGAGGAAAUCCCUUCGGGGACAGAGAGACAGGUGGUGCAUGGUUGUCGUCAGCUCGUGUCGUGAGAUGUUGGGUUAAGUCCCGCAACGAGCGCAACCCUUGUCUUUAGUUGCCAGCAAGUAAUGUUGGGCACUCUAGAGAGACUGCCUGGGUUAACCAGGAGGAAGGUGGGGAUGACGUCAAAUCAUCAUGCCCCUUAUGUUCUGGGCUACACACGUGCUACAAUGGCUGGCACAACGGGAAGCGAAAGAGUAAUCUGGAGCAAAUCUUAAAAGCCAGUCUCAGUUCGGAUUGU